rnacentral:rRNA from 1 species
UACGUAGGUGGCAAGCGUUGUCCGGAUUUACUGGGCGUAAAGAGCGCGCAGGCGGUCGUAUAAGUCGAAUGUGAAAGCCCCCGGCUCAACUGGGGAGGGUCAUUCGAUACUGUUCGACUUGAAGGCAGGAGAGGGAAGUGGAAUUCCGGGUGUAGUGGUGAAAUGCGUAGAUAUCCGGAGGAACACCAGUGGCGAAGGCGACUUUCUGGCCUGUUCUUGACGCUGAGGCGCGAAAGCUAGGGGAGCAAACGGG